UACGUAGGGUGCAAGCGUUGUCCGGAAUUAUUGGGCGUAAAGAGCUCGUAGGCGGUCUGUCGCGUCUGCUGUGAAAACUCAGGGCUUAACCCUGAGCUUGCAGUGGGUACGGGCAGACUAGAGUGCGGUAGGGGAGACUGGAAUUCCUGGUGUAGCGGUGAAAUGCGCAGAUAUCAGGAGGAACACCGGUGGCGAAGGCGGGUCUCUGGGCCAUUACUGACGCUGAUGCACGAAAGCUAGGGGAGCAAACAGG
rnacentral:rRNA from 1 species